UACGUAGGGUGCAAGCGUUGUCCGGAAUUAUUGGGCGUAAAGAGCUCGUAGGCGGCUUGUUGCGUCGGCUGUGAAAUCCCGGGGCUCAACCUCGGGUCUGCAGUCGAUACGAGCAAACUAGAGUGUUGCAGGGGAGACUGGAAUUCCUGGUGUAGCGGUGAAAUGCGCAGAUAUCAGGAGGAACACCGGUGGCGAAGGCGGGUCUCUGGGCCUGAACUGACGCUGAGGAGCGAAAGCGUGGGGAGCGAACAGG
rnacentral:rRNA from 1 species